rnacentral:misc_RNA from 1 species
CAAGAACAAAAAACAACACUGACAAUCUCAAAACCAGAAAACAAGUUUAACUUCUUCCUUUUCAUUACUGAUCCAAAGUCAUUUAACCCCAUUCAGAUUAGAGACCCCAGAAAGCUAAAAUCCUACUGAGCUUUUAGUCCUUUAUCACUAAACAUUCAUCUUGAAAGUUAUUGUGAUAAAACUCAUAAAAUUUCAGCAUUGAGAUGCCAAUUUUUUGCGAAGAGAGUGGAAUUGCUUGGGCUGUUGAGAGACAUUGAGUGAUGAGCAG